AGAAAUGGGUUGGAAGGCAGCCACAGUAAACACGGUGCUGGCAGGUCACGAGAUGGGUGGGCAAGGCUGAGGAGCUGUCCCCGGGCGAGCUUUGGCCACCUGAACUCCUGUACUAAGUGGCUUUGGAAGAAACACUGCAGUUCCACUAGGAGGAGCACUGAACACGGGCAGACUUGCAUAAUUUCCAGAAACUAUGUCUAAUUUGCAGGGUCCCAGCCAAUGAAACUAAGAUGGGUGGAGGGGAAACAUUUCCUCUUCCUCCUCUGCAUGUGUUUCCUGACUCCAACCCUCAUUGGACUACGAUGUGAAAAGAAGUCUUCAUUGUGUUAAGCCACUGAGAUUUGGAAGUUGUUUGUUAACAACAGCUACCAUCAUUUAUUCUAUUUAAUAGAUCUUAGAUGCUUUUAACAACAGUGUCUAUCUCCACAUGUCAGAAGGAUUAAGAUGAUAUUUGCAACAAUAAAAGUACUACAUAUUAUUA